rnacentral:lncRNA from 1 species
UGUUUCAAUGUGAAAGUCUUUUCAUGAAAACAAGAAUAUAUAGGAUUUAAUAAUUUGAGAUGAGUUUGCACAGCUUUUAAAGAUACUUAACAGUUAAUGGAAUGAAAGAGACGUGACCUGUACCACAUACAGACAUUGUGUGGAAUAAAAUGUCUAAUCCAGGCAAUUACGAAUUAAUAUGAUGUAGGGGUUGGAAUGUGAAUGUGUCCUCUGCAUGGGUACAAAACCUAUGGUGAUUUAGAAACGACUUAUCAAGGCAAAAGGGGGGGGUAUAACUCAUUUUUGGAGUUAUUAACGAGGCAUUAAUUGACCUAAGAAAUUAAUCCUAUUGAGCAGUAAAGAAAAUGGCAUAGCCUGUAAGAACAUAUAUGGUUUAAGGGUUGGACAAUCAUUAAACCAUGACAGUUAAAGGUCAAUUAAUUGGACCUUGAGAUCAACGGUAAAUGUCAUAAUGAUAUUAGACUGUUAUGAUAUCUGAGUCAUAUACACUGUAUGCCAAAUAUCACAAGUCAAUGUAUAAAAACUAAGUAAGUGUAGACCCGGACAAGUGUGUAUGAGAAUAAAAUUCCAAAAAAGAAGAAGAAUAGUUAUGUUUAACAUAAUGUAUCCAUUCAUUUCAUCUUGGAAGCCAGGG